rnacentral:lncRNA from 1 species
GCUUAUUCUAUAAUCUAAACAUUUUUGUCCUCUCUCUCUCCCUUUUUUUUUUUUGGCGAUUGUUGAAAUAGCUGUAGUAAUGUACAAGAGCAAUGAAUUCUAGGAUCUAAAUUUUGGAAGGUUGAUUCCGGGCAGCGCACCAAGUAACAGCAGGUCUGGCUGCCCUUUCGAGGCCGUAACGAAUCCAUUGUAUCUACCACUGACCGCUUUUUAUCCUGAAUUUUCUGGUGAGAUCAGCGGAUUUAGCUGUUCCUUCUGGUUGGCUGUUCUGAAGCUGCGUGAGCGCUGCACAGGGGAAAGUGC